rnacentral:rRNA from 1 species
UACGUAGGUGGCAAGCGUUAUCCGGAAUUAUUGGGCGUAAAGCGCGCGCAGGCGGUUUCUUAAGUCUGAUGUGAAAGCCCACGGCUCAACCGUGGAGGGUCAUUGGAAACUGGGGAACUUGAGUGCAGAAGAGAAAAGCGGAAUUCCACGUGUAGCGGUGAAAUGCGUAGAGAUGUGGAGGAACACCAGUGGCGAAGGCGGCUUCCUGGUCCGACACCGACGUUCAGGCACGAAAGCGUGGGGAGCAAACAGG